rnacentral:rRNA from 1 species
UACGUAGGGGGCGAGCGUUGUCCGGAAUCAUUGGGCGUAAAGCGCGUGUAGGCGGCCCGGUAAGUCCGCUGUGAAAGUCCAGGGCUCAACCCUGGGAUGCCGGUGGAUACUGUCGGGCUCGAGUCCGGAAGAGGCGAGUGGAAUUCCUGGUGUAGCGGUGAAAUGCGUAGAGAUCAAGGAGGAACACCUGUGGUGUAGACAGCUUACUGGACGGCAACUGACGGCUGAGGCACGAAAGCGUGGGUAGCAAACAGG